rnacentral:rRNA from 1 species
AUUGAACGCUGGCGGCAUGCCUUACACAUGCAAGUCGAACGGCAGCACGGGUGCUUGCACCUGGUGGCGAGUGGCGAACGGGUGAGUAAUACAUCGGAACAUGUCCUGUAGUGGGGGAUAGCCCGGCGAAAGCCGGAUUAAUACCGCAUACGAUCUACGGAUGAAAGCGGGGGCCCUUCGGGCCUCGCGCUAUAGGGUUGGCCGAUGGCUGAUUAGCUAGUUGGUGGGGUAAAGGCCUACCAAGGCGACGAUCAGUAGCCGGUCUGAGAGGACGACCAGCCACACUGGGACUGAGACACGGCCCAGACUCCUACGGGAGGCAGCAGUGGGGAAUUUUGGACAAUGGGCGAAAGCCUGAUCCAGCAAUGCCGCGUGUGUGAAGAAGGCCUUCGGGUUGUAAAGCACUUUUGUCCGGAAAGAAAUACUUGGCCCUAAUACGGUCGGGGGAUGACGGUACCGGAAGAAUAAGCACCGGCUAACUACGUG